rnacentral:rRNA from 1 species
UACAGAGGUCUCAAGCGUUGUUCGGAUUCAUUGGGCGUAAAGGGCGCGUAGGCUGCGGGGCAAGUCGGGUGUGAAAUCUCAGAGCUCAACUCUGAAACUGCACUCGAUACUGCUUUGCUUGAGGACUGGAGAGGAGAUUGGAAUUCACGGUGUAGCAGUGAAAUGCGUAGAUAUCGUGAGGAAGACCAGUGGCGAAGGCGGAUCUCUGGACAGUUCCUGACGCUGAGGCGCGAAGGUCAGGGGAGCAAACGGG